rnacentral:lncRNA from 1 species
GGAACUCCCAGCACUGGGUGUCUGAUAUCAGCUUGGUUUUCUCCUGAUGAUGAACAGGGACAGGGGCAGAUGAAGGAGACAGAUCUUGCUGAGCGUGCUGGUCAGCUGGGGACUCAUUGAUUAAGGGCUGGUAAUAAAUGGCUGUUAUUUAAGAACUCGUGACUGAUACCUGGCUGUCAUGCUAUUGCAACAGUCCGUGAAAUGCCUGUUGUGCUCACAGUGACUCAGGCGGACUUUCUCGACAGGCACUGUAUGUCAUGAAGAAUGAGCACCUGCCUCGCACCCUGCACGCUCUGCAAAGGAAAAGCCCUCGCGCCUCUGUCAGGCCAUGCAUGAGUCGUGGUGGCGUUUCCCACCCCGCUCGCUGUACCCCUUACAGUGUGUAUUUUGCCCAAGUUGGGUUCUGACCCCCAGGUGCCACCCCAGGCUGCCCUCCAACCCUCUCAGAUACAGUCUUUCAUCUGCUGUCCGAAGCCACCCCAGCUGAGCUUCUCCACAGGUUCCCAUGGCCCAUUCCCAGUGUCUUCUCCUACAGUGCAUUUUAAAAUUUAAAUAUUCACUGUAAUUUUCAAUCAUACCUCCUAGCACCAACAUCUCCCAAAGCCCCCUUGAUGUCUGGACUCAGUCAUAAACCUGGAUCCUGCCCUUCGAUGCCAGGUUCCGGAUAGGUGCUCUAGGUCCCAGGCACAGUAGGAUGAAAUUUAGGACAUAUUUAUGAUGCUGGAAUGUUCCAGAACUGAAGCUUACCUCUGACUUACAGAAUCAGAGCAUGAUAACAAAGGGAAGAUAUCCUCCCCCAUUCUGAAAUAGUAUGCUGGCCUCCUAUGUGGUACCUUUGCCUUAAUCUCUUCAAUGUAAUGAGGCCACCUUUCUGUAUUCAGGUCAGGCCCUCUGCAAAGACAGUGUCCAGCCACGCUGUCCAAAGCCCCUUCAGAAACCUGCGGAGCUGCUGAGCUGCCAUAGGGCAGGAACGGCUUCCAGUCGCACCAGCAAAACACCCCAGGCACUGACACCCAGCAAGGGAAGCUCUGAGCUGUGCAGAAACUGAAGUGGAGACACGUCCGCACUGUUGCUGAGGGCUACCAAGCCCCCACACCCCCAUCUAGGACUGGGUGGGAAGAAGGAGGUAACAGGAAGUUUCUGUGGAUUAUAUCCUGGAUGUGAAUUUAGCAUGCUGUCAUAUUUUACGGGCAUGUAAACUUGCAUAUGUUAGAGAAGUCUCGGUGGUGAAAUUGCUUGUCAUGACUCAGAAGAGAAGAUGCAGCGCUGGAUUUCAGGGCUUCUCCAGGCCCCUCUGUGGCUAACCCAGGUUCAGCCCACGCAAACAUCACAGGAUGCUAAAUUUAAAUCCUGCCAGAUUUGAAUAACACUUCCCAGUGUAUGUGCAGCACUGCUGCAAGACACUGCUAUAUUCUGGGGAUCCUUUUCCUCUGCUUGCAAC